rnacentral:rRNA from 1 species
UACGGGGGGGGGCAAGCGUUGUUCGGAAUUACUGGGCGUAAAGGGCUCGUAGGCGGCCAACUAAGUCAGACGUGAAAUCCCUCGGCUUAACCGGGGAACUGCGUCUGAUACUGGAUGGCUAGAGGUUGGGAGAGGGAUGCGGAAUUCCAGGUGUAGCGGUGAAAUGCGUAGAUAUCUGGAGGAACACCGGUGGCGAAGGCGGCAUCCUGGACCAAUUCUGACGCUGAGGAGCGAAAGCCAGGGGAGCAAAGCAGG